rnacentral:misc_RNA from 1 species
GAUGAAGAACGUAGCGAAAUGCGACAAGUAAUGUGAAUUGCAGAAUUCAGUGAAUCAUCGAAUCUUUGAACGCACAUUGCGCCCCUUGGCAUUCCUUGGGGCAUGCCUGUUCGAGUGUCACUGCAAACCCACUCAUAAAUAUUAUGGUAUUGAUGGAAGUGAACGGAACCAAUCUAUGUGUUCAGGUCAUCCCAUCGAAAUGUAUAAGCAGGACAAUCAACCUGUGCAAUGGACUUAGUAACUGUCUUGAAGACAUAAACCAGUUUGUUGCUUGGUUUUGACUUAGCUUCCAUGGACCUCCAUCCAAGAUAAUAAACUCUGGGUUGACCUCGGAUCAGGUAGGGAUACCCACUGAACUUAAGCAUAUCAAUAAGCGGAGGA